UGUUCGUCCGUUCCACCAUACCCCUUCCCCACAGGUGGUUUCCCUCCCCCUAUGACAGGUGGCUACCCUCCUCCUAUGCCAGGUGUGGUGUCUCCAUGGCCUCCUAUGAUGGACCAGUCUAAACAGUGGGACUACUACCCUCCAGGACCGGGACCAGGACCAGGACCAGGACCCAGACGGGAGGACAAGAGGGAGAAGGAGAGAGAGAGACCCAGGGAGAGACCACAUGAGAGGGAGAGAGAGCGAGAGCACAGCCCCUCCACUAUGGGUUACAACAGGUUAGUCGAGGAUGACGAGGCCACAGCUGGUUAGUCGAGGACGACGAUGCAGGCGACAGCGGGUUAGUCGAGGACGAUGCAGGCGACAACGGGUUAGUCGAGGACGAUGCAGGCAACAGCGGGUUAGUCGAGGACGAUGCAGGCGACAACGGGUUAGUCGAGGACGAUGCAGGCGACAACGGGUUAGUCGAGGACGAUGCAGGCGACAACCGGUUAGUCGAGGACGAUGCAGGCGACAGCGGGUUAGUCGAGGACGAUGCAGGCGACAGCGGGUUAGUCGAGGACGAUGCAGGCGACAGCGGGUUAGUCGAGGACGUUGCAGGCGACAACGGGUUAGUCGAGGACGAUGCAGGCGACAGCGGGUUAGUCGAGGACGAUGCAGGCGACAGC